rnacentral:lncRNA from 1 species
UCUAAGUACAAACUACGCAAAACAACUCAACGGACUUCCUGACGGAGACCUGGAAAUGUGAUUUCCGUCAUGGACCCAUCUUGCUAGAGUCAAAAAGGUAAAAUCCUAUGCCAUUGUGUAGCUCUCGGAAAGAGCUUUCUGGAAUGGUAUGACACGCUUCCAUCGGACUCCCGGAUUGAAAGUUAUGAAGGUUCGAGCGGACAAUGCAUUGUUCGAGUGUACAUACUUCGAAACGGCGGGACACACAUGGCCCGGGGCACCCGGGGCAGCCGCAGAUAGACCCGUGGCUCCCCCUUCUAUAAAUAGAGGGCUUGGGGUGGCCAUUUUAAGAAGGAGAAAGACGAGGAAGCCCUGUCCAUUUUGCUUUGUACACACUUUAAACUGAGUGUUUUCUUUUUCUAAGUACUUGUGAGCUCGUGUUUUGCUAUAUUUAAUUGGUGGAAAGCGAGUAUUCAUUCAUUAAAAGCUAUCUGAAGUCUUCUUGGCAGCCCACUAUAAGACAUCUUAGAUUUCUUAAGCCUUUUCUCACUUCCAUCCAUAUAUACUUAUUCACG